rnacentral:rRNA from 1 species
GUCUAUGGCCUUGCCACCCUGAACAUGCCCGAUCUUGGAAGCUAAGCAGGGUCGGGCCUGGUUAGUACUUGGAUGGGAUUCCACCUAGGAAUAUCAGGUGCCGUAGGCC